AUUAAACUGAAGAGUUUGAUCCUGGCUCAGAUUGAACGCUGGCGGUAUGCUUAACACAUGCAAGUCGAACGGAAACGAUGGUAGCUUGCUACCAGGCGUCGAGUGGCGGACGGGUGAGUAACGCGUAGGAAUCUGCCUGAUAGUGGGGGAUAGCCCAGAGAAAUCUGGAUUAAUACCGCAUAAUCUCUAUGGAGUAAAGGAGCCCUCUUCUUGAAAGGUUUCGCUAUCAGAUGAGCCUGCGUAAGAUUAGCUUGUUGGUGAGGUAAAAGCUCACCAAGGCGACGAUCUUUAGCUGGUCUGAGAGGAUGAUCAGCCACACUGGAACUGAGACACGGUCCAGACUCCUACGGGAGGCAGCAG
rnacentral:rRNA from 1 species